CCCCCCCCCCUCUUUAAUUGAUCAUAUUUGAUUCACAGAAACCCAUCUGAGAUUCUGGAUCUUUUUGAGGUGAUUUUCGUAGACAGGAAAAACUUGGUCUCUGUGAAAAGCAUGAAACAUGCAGAGGAGGUGGUAAUAUGUAAUGUCCAAAGCCAGCAACAAAAGCAACAGAACUGCCAGUGCUAGAGGUGAAUAGUAAUCGUUGAUGACUACAGUAUUCAGCCAUCUCUGAUAUAAGUGGCAUAUUUAGUCAUUUGCACACUUCAACCACUAAAAUAUUGCUUUUCAAAUGUUAUAUUUUCAGAGGCUUAUUCUAGGUGUCUGCUCAGGUCACUGGGAAUGCAUCACUGUUUGUCUGUUUAUUGUGUUGUUUCCUUUGCCUUUUAAAGUGUUUUUUUUUUUUCUUUGGUGGAGAAGUGAGGUAAAGUCUAGUCACUGGACAUGCUGAAUUUCCUAGUCUAGAGCUUGCUGUGGCUUAAUAUAGAGGUAUUUACAGGAGUGUGGUAGGGAAAAAAUGAUCCUUUCCUACGCCAUGUAUUGUACAGGUAAAUGAACCAGGGGCUUCAUGCAGCUUGAAAACUGUCUUGAAGGACAAUGAAGAUGCUGUGCUGGGAAUUGAUGACUUUCAAGAAAUAGUUUGAAAAAUUAGCCCUGUGAAACAGAUGAAUAAUAACUAAAUACAAGCAUGCAGGAUUCCAAAGCAGAUAAAAAAGCUGUACAGUGACUGCAGGGAUGGAUAGUGCUGCUGACAGGCAGUGGGUACGGUUCAACAAGCAGCAGCUGCAGCGAUACCAGAGGUCCGGUUUGGCUGAUGAUGGUGCUAAUUUGGGGGAGUGGUGGGGUUGAAACAAUUCACAGCUGUACUUGAAGUUAAUGAAUGGCUUUGCUCCCGUUUGGAAAUACCUGUUUUUGUAACUGUGAGCUAAAACUAAAUGGCCAUAUCAUCUAAAAAUCAAAUUUCUUUUGAAAACUGGGUGUCUGACUUUGGUUAACAACUGGAUGAAAGUCUUACGUAUUUGACUAGCAUUUGAGCCUACUUUGUUAAUUGUUUCUUUGCACAAAGGCUCGAAUACGUAUAUAAUGGUUUAACAGAACAGUCCUAAAGUCAUCAGUCAUUGUGGUUUUUCGGUUUUGAGUCAGGACAUACGGUCAGUUUUAAAGUCAAGUUGACACCGUGUUUGUUAUCAAGUAAAAUACUGUGUUAGUGAUUGGCUCCAUCCACAUGACAGCUUUUUGUUUUUUUGCAUUCUAUGACUGAGAAGUAUUUAUCUCCCUCUGUUAAACUUGAGUUACUAGGUCAACAGUCAUUGUUCUAGGUAGCUUGUAACAAUAAUACAAAACUUUUUCUUUUGGUUGUUCUAUAAAGUUACUUUCUUGUGGCUGGGAGAGGCAUGUUGCCUUUAGGAAAAAAAAAGAUGUUUAAUAUUUUUUUAUAUCUGUUAUUCUUAAACUUCAACUUUCUGAGACUUAUUCAGCUGCCUGCUGUAAUAGCAUUACGUUGAUUUGGGACAUCAUAUGAUUGAGAGCUGUUCAAAACAAUCUUUCAUUCAUGCAGAUAAAGCCAGUUUGUAUGUGCAGCGUUUCAGAAUGACAGCUUUUAUACUGUAAGCGGUGGCUUUUUGAGCACAUUCGUGUUAAGUAGGUCUCAAAGUCAUUACUUUUGGAUAUGGUGGUUAAGCACUUUACAAAAAAAAAAAUAAUAAAAAAAAAAAAUCAGCUUUUCUUAUUUUUCUGGCUGCUAAGCCAAACGGAAAUACUCAUGUGACUUUUUUUUUUUUUUAAUUUUAAAGCAGCAGUAAUGUUUACACUUGAGAUUUUAAAUCUUAUAUUCACUAUUUCUCCUUUUUUAUUUUCCAAACUUUGUACUGCUAACUUGCUUUACACAGGUAUAUUUUUGGUAGGAUGCUUCACAUAUAAAUUGACUGAAUUCUCUUUAUAAUCCUUCCAAGAGUAAUGUGGAAGCACACAGAUGGUGUGUUUGAAGGAGAACUAGAACCCGUUUUGCUGCUAAACUUUCAUCUUCGUUUAUUUUUUGCCUUUUUGGUAUUAUAUGUACAAAACAGUGAACUUUGGAAAUACUGGUUGUUUGUAUCCUUUUGUGCAAAUAAAGAUUUCUAACUGUGGGGUGGCACUUUGAUUCGUAUUUAUACUUAUUAGGAAUCCUCUAAAGGCUGAGAGUCAGCUUUAAUAAAGAUUGUCAAUAAACAAUGAACAGUGUGGUUUCUUAAUUGCUCCAUUUGUAGUAGUUCUAUAUCCCUGCUGUUUGGGGUUUGUGUUUAGAGGCACCUGCUUAUUAUUCCUCAUUAUGCCAUUUGCAGGAAAACAGUAUCAGAAGGACAUUUUCAAAGCAGCGCUGCAGUGAAUUACAGAAGGAAUGAAUUGCAACUGCUGAGAAAGGGUGGAGUUUGAGCGCAGUUAAAUCCUGCUGAAGUAGACGGAAAGAGUCUCGGUAGUUGUAACGGAGUUUCUUGGACAGGUGUUUGGGUAAGGCUCUACUUUGAGACCACUGGAGGUCACCAAGUCUGACUCCGUGUUCAGGCAGGACCAUCUCUAAAGCUGGAUCAAGUUGCUCAGGACUCACAGCUGUGUUUGGUUCCCCAGUUUUGGCACUGCUGGGCUCUGCUCCAAGCAGGCUGUACUUUCCGCUCCCAAAACCUGCAGGGGUGCAGGAUGGAUGCCACAGCUUGAAGAAACAAGUAUGAGAAACUGAUGUUCCCUGCUGCCAGCCCACUGUGGGUAAAGAAUACAGGAAUACUUUAUACUAUGGUGUAGCUUUGAAAGGAGUCUGGUUUUAAGUGUGAGCUUUUUUUUAUUAUUAUUAUUUUUAUUUCUGUGCUUCCUACAGAUGAGUAGGACUGACCAGGUGGCAAGGAGGGUAGGGAUGCUGUCGCAAUGCUUUGCAAACAAACACAAAGUUGCAGAGUUAACUGCUAAUUAUUUUUUAAAAAAUAAUGAAUUAGUUUUGCUGUAAAUAAGUUAAAUAGUUGAAUGAACCUUGAAAUCUUUCCCUACUCCCAUCCAAGGUAAAAAUGUUGGAAAGCUAUUUCAAAUAUUUAAUAACAGAGAGACACUUGCUAGUAGCUUGGUUGAAGUUUUAACUUUUAAUACUGAAAAUUCCACUCUAGUGCCAGCACAGUAAGUAUCAUGGAUUGCUGCAAUUAAGCCAGUGCCUUAAGUUAUUCAUAAUACUCUUUCUGGGCAACAUUCCCACCUGCUUAAUCUCUGCUAUACAAGCGUUUAUUAGAACUGACUGUUGAAAACACCAAGCUAAAUCAGACACUAAAAAAAA